rnacentral:rRNA from 1 species
AUUGAACGCUGGCGGCAGGCUUAACACAUGCAAGUCGAGCGAGCGGCGGACGGGUGAGUAAUGUCUGGGACACUGCCUGAUGGAGGGGGAUAACUACUGGAAACGGGAGCUAAUACCGCAUACCAUCAGAUGUGCCCAGAUGGGAUUAGCUAGUAGGUGGGGUAAUGGCUCACCUAGGCGACGAUCCCUAGAUGGUCUGAGGGGAUGGCCAGCCACACUGGAAUGGAGACACGGUCCGGACUCCUACGGGAGGCAGCAGUGGGGAGUAUUGUACUAUGGGCGCAAGCCGGAUGCAGCCAUGCCGCGUGUGUGAAGAAGGCCUUCGGGUUGUGAAGCUCUUUCAGCGAGGAGUCGUUACUCGCAGAAGAAGCACCGGCUAACUCCGUGCCAGCAGCCGCGGUAAUAC